rnacentral:misc_RNA from 1 species
AAGUCGUAACAAGGUUUUCGUAGGUGAACCUGCGAAAGGAUCAUUAGUGAAUUUAACAGUGUCUCUUUUAGUUAAGAGCCUGUAACCACUAUUACACACACUUGUGCACCGUUUCUUUUUAAUUUAACAAUUAAGUUUGUUAUCUUAAAUUUUUACACACUUGUAAUUAUAAACCAGUUGAUGAUGUUGAUCAAAUAUGAUAAUGAAAGAAAAACUUUCAGCAAUGGAUCUCUUGGCUCUC